CCCGGAUGGGUACUUCUGGAACGGUGGCCUAUACCGCGGUAUGCCGAGAGGUGAAAGGUUUACUGCCUGGAGAUGAGCUCGCGUCUGAUUAGCUAGUUGGUGGUGUAAAGGACUGACCAAGGCGACGAUCGGCUCGAUAGCAUGGUCUGAGAUCAGGAUGUAUCAGCCACACUGAGGAUGAACUGAGACACUGGUCUCAGACUCCUACGACUCUACGGAGGCAGCAGUGGGGAAUUUUCCGCAAUGGGCGAAAGCCUGACGGAGCAAUGCCGCGUGAGGGAGGAAGGCUCYUGGGUUGUAAACCUCUUUUCUCCGGGAAUAGACAAGUGAAGGUACCUGAGGAAUCAGCAUCGCUAACUCCGUGCCAGCAGCCGCGGUAAUACGGAGGAUGCAAGCGUUAUCCUGGAAUGAUUGGGCGUAAAGCGUCCGUAGGUGGCUGUGUAGUGUCUAUUGUUAAAGACGUUUGGCUCAACCCACAUAAGGGCGGUAGAAACUACACAGCUAGAGUGCGUUACGGGGUCAGAGGGAAUUCCGUGGUGUAGACGGUGAAAUGCGUAGAUGAUCAGGAAGAACACCGGUGGCGAAGAGCGCUCUGCUAGGCCGCAACUGACACUGAGGGACGAAAGCUAGGGGAGCGAAUGAGAUUAGAUACCCCAGUACUCCUAGCCAUAAACGAUGGAUACUAGGCGUUGAGAGUAUCGACCCUCUCAGUGCCGUAGCUAACGCGUUAAGUCUCCCGCCUGGGGAGUACGCACGCAAGUGUGAAACUCAAAGGAAUUGACGGGGGCCCGCACAAGCGGUGGAGUAUGUGGUAUUAAUUCGAUGCAACGCGAAGCAACCUUACCAGUGGCUUGACAUGUCUGGAACUCUGGGGAAAUCUCGGAGGUGCCUUCGGGAGCCAUGAACACARGUGGCUGCAUGGCUGUUCGUCCAGCUCCGUGUUCGUGGAGAUUGUUGGGUUUAAGUUCCCCGCAACGAACGCCAACCCUCCGUAUCUCUAGUUGGCCAGCAUUUCGGAUGGGCACUCUAAGGAGACUGCCGGUGACAAACCGGAGGAAGGUGGGGAUGACGUCAAGUCACGCAUGCCCCUUACGUCCUGGGCUACACACGUAGCUACAAUGGUACCGGACAAAGGGCAGCGAGACUGCGAAGAUCAAGCAAAUUUCAGAAACCGUGGCUCAGUUCAGAUCGCAGGCUGCAACUCGACCUGCCGUGAAGGAGGAAUCGCUAGUAAUUGCAGGUCAGCAUACUGCAGUGAAUUCGUUCCCGGGCCUUGUACACACCGCCCGUCACACCAUGGAAGCUGGUCACAGCCCGAAGUCAGUUACUCUAUAACUUCCAGAGAAAGAGGCAUCAUCCUUCCU
rnacentral:rRNA from 1 species